GACGAACGCUGGCGGCGUGCUUAACACAUGCAAGUCGAACGGAAAGGCCCCUUUGGGGGUACUCGAGUGGCGAACGGGUGAGUAACACGUGAGUAACCUGCCCUUGACUUCGGGAUAACUUCAGGAAACUGGGGCUAAUACCGGAUAGGAAUCCUUGCUGCAUGGUGGGGGUUGGAAAGCUUCGGCGGUUUUGGAUGGACUCGCGGCUUAUCAGCUUGUUGGUGGGGUAGUGGCUUACCAAGGCUUUGACGGGUAGCCGGCCUGAGAGGGCGACCGGCCACAUUGGGACUGAGAUACGGCCCAGACUCCUACGGGAGGCAGCAGUGGGGAAUAUUGCACAAUGGGCGGAAGCCUGAGGCAGCAACGCCGCGUGCGGGAUGACGGCCUUCGGGUUGUAAACCGCUUUCAGCAGGGGCGAAGCUUGUGGUGACGGUACCUGCAGAAGAAGCACCGGCUAACUACGUGC
rnacentral:rRNA from 1 species